GUCGGCGUUGCGUGUUUUGCCUUUUUUUUACCCCUUUUUUCUAUUGAAAUUUGAAUUCGGGUCAACUUAAGUAGGCGACGCCCGAUUCGCGUACUGCAAACCAUCCCCAACAACGACGAACAACAAAAAAAACCCCAGAGAACUGCGGAUGCUAGAAAUCAGAAAAAAAAAACAAAUUGCGGGGGAAAACUCAGCAGGCAGCCUUCCUCUCCUUAGAUCCUGCCAGAGCCGCUGAGGUUUCCUCGUAAUGUGUAUUUCAGUUCCCUACAACGACGAAGGCAGACUUGCAUUUAUGUAGCGCCUUCUGCAGUCACUGUUCGCUUGGAAGCGUUUAUUUCACCCGGCGAGCAGUGUAGUUGCACAGAGACUGCUGUCAGACUCCAGGAUAAUGCAGCAUAUUUGACUGAAUAAAGAUAAGGCUACUAACGGAAGACCGUUUUAGGACUAUUAUCAGGAAGUGUUUUGUGUGAUGGACCUGGACCCAUUUGGAGCAAACUCAAACCCAUUACAAACCAUUGCAGCUAGGAAAGAUUUGAAAGUCUGAGGCCCGGGAACAAGUGUGUGCUAGACCAUUCCUGAUGAAGGGCUUUUGCCUGAAACAUUGAUUUUCCUGCUCCCUGGAUGCUGCCUGAUAUGCUGUGCUUUUCCAGCACCACACUCUUGACUCUGAUCAACAGCACCACUUUCACCUUGUAAAUCCAGCCUGGAGAGAGCCUUCCAGAGUACAUGGCUGCUAUUGAAGAGAGAGCGCAAUUUCAUGAAAGAACAGUCAGUGCUGGAAGUGAAGACAUUGAACAUUCAAUGAACCUAUUUAUUUUGCAGAAAUUCAAGGAAAAACAUGGAGGAAAGGAGCUGAGAGAGUGAGUUAAAAGACACAAAUUUGCAAGUGCUUCAGAUGAUUUCAAGACUGUUUCUACAAAGACUGUGACUAUGAAAUUAGAAAAUAAAUUUUCCUAUGUUAUUGGACAAA